UACACUUAAAAGCUGCCACGUCGUCAUCCC
rnacentral:piRNA from 1 species